rnacentral:lncRNA from 1 species
CAUCACUACGAUGUAACUUUCUUUCUCGCAUGUCUCCCUAUUUGAUUUGAAGCCUGUAUUUUUUCUCGACAUUUUUGGCUUGUUGUUCUAAUCGGUUUUUUUUCUAUAUUUGUUUUUUUUCUCUUUCUUUUUUGCUUGUAUAUGUCUGCUUCCUUCCUUUCGACCUAUCUAUGGAUUUAAGUUUUCAGUAAUUACUUUGAAAAACCGAGGGAAACCUUAACUGUUAAUGGCUUGCUUAAACGAAUUCCACUUGUUUAGAUCAUAUUUUUUGAAUUCUAAUGUUUUCAUGUUUCUGUUCGCUUAUUCAUUUACCUUGUUCAUCCCUGAUACUUGCAUUUUCUUCUCCAAUAUUUUAAUCGCUAGUUUUCCUUGUCAUUUUUCUGCCUUGUUUUAAUCGUUUUAUAUUUUGGUACUUCUUAGAGCUCUGUUUUUUAUCCGACUUUACUAUACACUGAAGGUUUUAGUAGUUACUUUUCCUUAAAAAAACCCAAGGGUAAGUUUGACUGUUAAUGAUUUGCUUGACUGAGUUGGGCUUUUUGUUAUUUAUUGUCUCGUUAAAUUUUAUCUUCAUUGGAUUUUAAUGUAUAUUUUCCUCAUCUGUUUUCUUAUUUAUUUACUUGUCUCUUUGUCCAUCUCUGUUACUUGCAUCUUCUUCUCGUCUCUUUUGAUGGCCUUUGGUGCUUCAUUGCUUAUAGGUUACUAUAACGCCCGAGGUAACCGCAAAAAAAGUUAACAGAGCAAUAAUGAAGCAACUUAUUGAUGUAUACAAAGAGUCGCAUCUUGGACGUCGGUGUCCAGCUUAUGAUGGCAGGAAGAGUUUGUACACUGCUGGUCCUCUUCCCUUCGAGUCAAAGGAGCUUGUUAUCAAGCUACCUGAGGAAGAUCGCAGUGCUGGUUCGUCUAGGCCUGCGCGGUAAUAUUAUUGUAUCCUAUGAUGGUCUCUUGACAUUUUACAUUUUAUCCGAUGUCAUUAUUGCUUACCUGUGAUCUUUCUGGUUGCCUGUCACUGCAGGAAGGAGCGACAAUUUAAGGUUGCAAUCAAACUGGCCUCCAAGCCAGACCUUCAUUAUCUCAGGGAGUUUCUGAGCAGAAAGCAUUUUGAAUGCCCUCAAGAAGCUAUUCAAGUUCUGGAUGUUGUUCUUAGAGCUAAACCAUCUCAGACGUAACUGCCUGUUGAUUACUGUUAAACAUUGCUUGCUGUUAAAUUGCUGAAACCAUUUUAUAUGACAUCAAAUUAAUACAUUUGAAACAUCAUUUGGCAGAUAUACUGAGGUGGGAAGGUCUUUUUUCCAUACAUCAUUAGGUCCUAGAGGAGAACUUGGUAAUGGAAUAGAAUACUGGUCUGGAUAUUAUCAGAGUCUUCGACCCACUCAGAUGGGUUUAUCUCUUAAUAUUGGUAGGUACUUUGAUUGCUCAGUUUGUGUAGCCACUUUGUUCCUAAUGUUUCAGUAUGAAGAUAUACUGGUUUUGCUUUGCAGAUGUGUCUGCUCGAUCAUUCUAUGAGCCAAUUUUAGUUUCAGAGUUUGUUGUGAAACAUUUCCGACGAUCAAACCUGUCAAAGCCGCUGUCUGAUCAAGAUCGUAUUAAAGUAUGUAUAUAUUGAAUUCAGUGUUUAUUAAUCAAAACUUGCAGAAUAUUUUUGGAAUGCUUCUUUUGCUGUAUUCUUUAGGUGAAAAAGGCCUUGAAGGGUGUAAGAGUUAAGCUCAUCUACAUGGAUUAUGCCAAAACUUGCAAGAUUACUGGAGUAUCUAGAGACCCUAUAAGCCAGUUGACGUGAGUUUGUUGUUAUAAUACUAUACGUGCUCAUAAAUAUUUUUAGUAAGCUACUUUUAUGUGGCCUGUGUGGUAGAAUUGUUUUUGGGUUAUUUGUAGUCUUGUAUUCACUACUUAUCUAAGUUCCAUCUUCAAAUUGAGUUGGUUUUAUUUUUUUUUUUUGUGGUUGACAGUUUUUAGUAUUUGGCUUGGUUAUGUAUUGUUCUAAAAUAUUGUUUAUGCUUGUACAUUUGUAAAAUCUUGUGCUUAUGGUAUAUUUGUCCCAUUCUGUCUCAUUAUGUUUCUGUUCAAUUUUUGGCUUUUUUAGAUUUACUCUUGAUGAUAAGAGAACAAAUGUCUCUGUGGUCAAGUAUUUCCGUGAGAAAUACAAUGUUGUGCUUAAAUAUCCAUCCUUGCCUGCACUUCAAAGUGGAAGCGAAGCUAGACCUGUCUACCUGCCAAUGGAGGUUUUUACUUUAUAUCAAGAUGAUCUUGUUUUUGUUUUCUUUUUGUUUGUUACUGAUUCUCUUGUAUGAUUUUGUUUUACAGCUUUGUAGUAUCGUUGAGGGUCAAAGAUACACAAAAAAACUAAAUGAACAACAAGUUAGAUCUCUGCUGAGAGCAACUUGUCAACGUCCGAACAUUAGGGAGGGGAAUAUUACAAAGGUACUACAGUUUUGGAUGCUUAUUAUUUUUUAAAUUUGUUGAUAAGAUGAGAAUUGUGAUUCAUUUGGCAUUUCAUGUUUCUGCAGAUGGUCCAGGUCAAUAAUUUUGAGGUGGAGGAGCUUGUUACUAAAGAAUUUGGAAUGCAUGUUCGCAAAGAACUUGCAUUGAUUAAUGCACGAGUUCUAAAUCCUCCAGUGGUACUUAUAUGCCAAUAUGUUAUAUUUUCAAGGAUAUUGUCCGUCUUAUAAUAAGAUUAAUGUCGGUUUUGGUUGCUGCAGCUAAAGUAUCACGAUAGUGGACGUGACAAAAUUGUUAAUCCUAGCUGUGGGCAAUGGAACAUGAUCAACAAGGUGAUUUUUUUUUCUUCCCCUCUUAUUCUUUGAAGUGGCAUUAUUUGUAAAAUUUAAGGAAUCAGACCUGUCUCUUCAGUCUCCUUGUUCCAGCGUUCUUGUUCAUUUUUUUUCAAUUCAUUUUUAAGGUUUGCAGCGUCUCUUCUCUGCAGUUUAGUGUAGCUGCAAGUCUUUUGGGAAAAUUUUGCUAGGUUUUAAGGUUCAACAUUUUUUUUUGCAGAAAAUGGUCAAUGGGGGUAAAGUUGAUUUCUGGUCUUGUGUGAACUUCUCCUCUGAAUAUUGGAAUAUGUCAGAAGACUUCUGUGCGGGGCUGGUGAAUAUGUGUAACAGCAAAGGAAUGGUAUGCUGUGUGGUUUUUUUAGUGUAGGUGGAUGGUACAUCUGUUAUUUAUUCAUCACUAGCUUGAUUUCCGAUUUUGUUACUCUAGGUGUUUCGCCAAACUCCUUCAAUUGCAAUGCGAUCAGCUCGUGCUGAUCGAAUUGAUCAGACUCUCAUGGAUGUAUACAAAGAGUCUGCAGGCUUGAAUAAGCCACUUCAGUUGUUGAUAAUUAUCUUACCUGAUCAGACUGGCUCUUAUGGUAAGAAAUUCUGAUGUUUUGUAAAUAGGUAAUUCCUGGGUUGUCUUUGCGCGACUCAAAUCUUUUUGUUUGCAGGAAAAAUAAAGCGAAUUUGUGAGACGGAGCUAGGUAUUGUUUCACAAUGUUGUAAGCCUGUGCAAGCUUCAAAGUUCAGCAACCAAUAUUUUGAAAAUGUUGCUCUCAAGAUCAAUGCUAAGGUAUCUGUUUUGCCUCACUGGUGGUGAUUUGAUAUAGUGGUUUCUUGUCUUGCUAUCUUCUUUUAAAUCAUUUGAGAAUUGUAAAUUCUGUAGGUUGGGGGGAGAAAUACUGUGCUGAACGAUGCUGUUUUAAGGAGAAUUCCGCUUGUGACUGAUGUCCCUACAAUCAUUUUUGGGGCAGAUGUCACUCAUCCGCCGCCUGGCGAAGACUCUAGUUCUUCUAUAGCUGCAGUAAGCAUAUUCAUUAUUCUCUAUCAUCCCCAUUUUGUUACUUGAUCAUAUUUAAGAGGUUAUUGGCUGGCUGCAGGUCGUUGCUUCAAUGGAUUGGCCUGAGGUAACCAAGUAUCGUGGAAUUGUCUCUGCACAGACUCACCGGGUGGAAAUAAUCGAGGAUCUUUAUAAACAAACUAGGGAUCCACAGAAGGGUUUAGUUGAGGGUGGAAUGGUUAGGUAGGGAGAGAUUUAUUCCAGGCUUAAAUUUUUAGUUUCUUCUGGAAGUGCUCUACUUUCUUAACAUUUCAAGUUCUCUGCAGGGAAUUGCUUCUUGCUUUCUACAGGUCAACGAAACAAAAGCCUUCUAGAAUUAUCUUCUAUAGGUAAUGUUUGCUUUUGACCAUCCGAAUCUAUGUAUAUAUUUCUAGCAGCAGUGCUGAUAUCUGAUUUUUGAUGUGUGGCAGAGAUGGUGUUAGUGAAGGACAAUUCAGCCAAGUUUUGCUUUAUGAAAUGGAUGCGAUUCGGAAGGUAUUGAAAUUACUGUAUAAUGUCUAUUAUAGUUGGUUCACUGUAUAAUGGAUGCAAUGUUUUUUGGUGUUUGGGCCUUCUGACCCCUGCAGUUUUCUUACUUCCAGGCUUGUUCCUCGCUACAGGAAGGAUAUAUGCCUCGGGUUACAUUUGUUGUGGUUCAAAAGAGGCAUCAUACUCGCUUAUUCCCUACUGAUCGCAACAAAACUGAUAGGAGUGGCAACAUAUUACCAGGUGAUUCUAAUCUUAUAAUAGGGAUUUGAUCGUAUUCUCUUGAUCUUCAUUUUGUUAGCAUAUUUUAAUGUAGCCAAUAACUUUUAGGUACUGUUGUGGAUACUAGCAUCUGUCAUCCAACUGAGUUUGAUUUUUAUCUCAAUAGUCAUGCUGGAAUCCAGGUAAAAUGAGGCCUUCCCUUGAAGUGUGAUGGUUUUUAUGUUAAUUUUGUCCGAUCUGAUAUUGAUAUUGAUGUUUUUGUGUAGGGGACAAGCAAGCCCACACAUUACCACGUUUUGUUGGAUGAAAAUGGCUUCACUGCUGACAUCUUGCAAGUGCUCACAAACAAUUUAUGUUACACGUAUGUGUUUGCUCCUUUCUCUAUAAUGUUGAAAUGGGGUGAAUAAAUAAUGCUUUAGAUCAGCACUAGCAAUUAUAUAGUAAUAAUUUUACUUUGUGGAUAGGUAUGCGAGGUGUACCAAGUCCGUUUCCAUAGGUUUGUGAUGAUGUUUUUUUGUCUUGUUAAAUUUGUUGACUAAGGUUGGUUUUGACAGUGAAUAUUUGGAUUAUAUGUUUGCAGUUCCUCCGGCAUACUAUGCUCACCUCGCUGCUUAUAGGGCACGUUGUUAUAUUGAGGAUGAGAUGUCGGAUAGUGGGUCUACUGGUGGAGGCCGAAAGCCGAAAGACAAGGUUGUAGAGGUUAGGCCGCUGCCCAGCAUAAAGGAUAAUGUGAAGGAAGUGAUGUUCUACGUCUGAUUAAUUAUGUUUGGUUGAUUGUGGGAAGUUGCGCAAGUAUAGUUGCACAGUUUGUGGAUGAUGGUGGAGUCUUAUUGAUUCCAUUGGUGGACUUAGUAAUCAUCUAAUUUUGGAGUUUUUGUUUUGGUGGUUGAGCUACUUGUUGUGUGAAGUUUGAAUUAUUAUAAAUCACACACUGUUUGUGGAUUACGAAAAUUUCAUAAAUGUCCUUUAUUUUUAAGACACAUUCUUAGAAAGGAGUUUUGGUAUCAUUCUUAAGCUUCUUUUAUAUCACCAAUUAAUACAAGAGAUGAUGAAAUUUUAGAGAAUAAUGUCUUUUUAUAAAGAGUUUUUAAAUGUUCAGAACACAAAUUGUAAGAUAUGCUCGGAUAUCCUCACUGCAUCUCCUUGCAACUCCAAUGAAUAAAAAAGCAAUCCUAAUCAAUUUUCUUUUUAAUUUACCAUUUUAAUAAACAUAGUAAAUACAAUUUUAUUAACUUAUUAAUUAAUUUUAUAAAUUUACAUAUUUUUAAUUCAUAAAAGUGUGAUAAUUUUAAAAACUUUUAUUAUAUAUAAUUUUUAAUCUAAUGUUUUCAAUAGUUAUAUUUUAUUAUUAUCUCACCGUUACAAUUACGUUUGAAAUUAAAUAUACAUCUCACCACUGUUUCUAUUCUCAUUGCUAUUGCUGUUUUUAACUUUACCGAAGAUAAAUGUAUCGUCCAUCCCAAUUAAACCUUAGUCCAUUUAUAGUGUUUUUUUUACUUCGUUAAAGCUGGACAAACUAUGCCAUUAAAAUUUUAAUAGCUUAAGUUUAGAUUGAAUGAGCGAUGCGUUUACUUUCGGUGAGAUUAAAAACAACAAUGGUAGUUAGAUUAGUUACUGUAGCGAUGAAAUUAGAUACUGUAGUAGUGAUAUUAGAAAUAGCGGUACGGUGUGUGUUUAGAUUCAAACGCAACUAUAAUAAUGAGUUGAGAAUAAAAAAUGACUAUUAAAGACAUUAGAUUUAUGAGUUCUCUCUCAUUUCAUCUUUUUUUCCCCUCAAAUUCUGUUAUGAAUAAAAAAUCUUCUUUAAAUAUCAAAGGAAAAGCUCUCAUUUAAUCCUCUCAUCUGAUUGUAUGAAAACGGUUUUGUUCAUUCAUCAGCUAUUCUGCUCUAUCAUUGCUUUUAUCUGUUUCAUUUUUUUCCAAUCUAAAACUAAAAAACAAACACCAUCUUUUCCAUUCAUGAUGACACAGAAGGUGAAGAAAAUUAUAAAUUUUGAUUCAUCAAUGGGUAUGGGUGGUUAACCAAAAUAGAGAAGAUAAAAAAGAAAAAGUAAUGUUGAAAAUAAAAGUCAUUUUCCUUUUUUUAAAAAUAUGGAUGAUUGAUAAUUUUAAAAAUAAUUUUCAAAAAAAUAAUUUUCAUUAUUUUCACCAAAAUGUUUUGUAGAAUUAAAAAAGACGAGAACAAGAGUUUUUUAAUUUUAAAUGAACGAGUUCACAAUGGGUUCAAAUCCAUAUAAACACAAAAAAAUAUUUAUUUUUCAAUAGUUUUUUUUUCUAAUAUUGAAUUCGGUACCCUGAUUUGAAUCCAUAUAAAUACGAAAUUUAUUUUAUUUUAUUAAAACAUGUUUUUAUUUCUAUUUAUCAAAUUUAAAAAAAUAGAAAAUGAAAAUCAUGUUUCUAUUUACCAAAUAUUUCACAAAUUAAACUGACUUUAAUUGUUUAGAAAAAAGAAAAAAAAUUCUAUUAUUUUCUAGUGAAGUAGAAAUUAGGAAAGGGAAGGGAUGCUUGCUAUGGAAAUUGUGGAUGGAAAAAAGGAAGUUGUCAAUAAAGAAAAAAAAAAAAAUUUUGGUAUUUUUUUAUGUCUGUUUUAUUGUUUAUGUUUGGGGUUCGUGGUAGUUCUUCUCAACAAGGUCAUCUUCAAUGUUUAAAUCUAUGUCUCAAAUUAAGAAUACAAUGUGCCUUACCAUUACACCCAACACUUGUUGGUAAAAAAAAAAGUGUAAAAUUUAUAUGAUAUUUUAAAAACAUAUAGAUAAUUUAAUGGUAAAAUUAUAAUUUUAUUUUUUUGAAGGAUAAUGCUAAUAUUGUAAUUAUAUUUAUUAUUGUAAUUUUACAUAAAAAUUAAACUAAUUAACUUGUAACAUCAACUAAGUUAAAUAUUUCUUUAAGUAUUAAAUUGUGUUACAAACAUGAUGUCAAUGUAAAAAAUAUAUUAAUAAAUAGGUGAAAUGAGGUUUUGGUUGAAAUGAUUAAUUUGAACCUGAUUUCUUAAGUUUAACUAACUCAACGACAUUAUUUUUUGAAAGAACUCGAUCAAGAUUGCUUUUUCCGUAGUUACUUUUCCUUAAAAAAACCCAAGGGAAAGUUUAACUGUUAAUGAUUUGGUUGACUGAGUUGGGCUUUUUGUUAUUUAUUGUCUCGUUAAAUUUUAUUUUCAUUGGAUUUUAAUGUGUAUUUUCCUUUUCUGUUUUCUUAUUUAUUUACUUGUCUCUUUGUCCAUCUCUGUUACUUUCAUCUUUUUCUCGUCUCUUUUGAUGGCCUUUGGUGCUUCAUUGCUUAUAGGUUACUAUAACGCCUGAGGUAACCGCAAAAAAGGUUAACAGAGCAAUAAUGAAGCAACUUAUUGAUGUAUACAAAGAGUCGCAUCUUGGACGUCGGUGUCCAGCUUAUGAUGGCAGGAAGAGUUUGUACACUGCUGGUCCUCUUCCCUUCGAGUCAGGAGCUUGUUAUCAAGCUACCUGAGGAAGAUCGCAGUGCUGGUUCGUCUAGGCCUGCGC